rnacentral:rRNA from 1 species
UGACGAGUUUGAUCCUGGCUCAGAUUGAACGCUGGCGGAAUGCUUUACACAUGCAAGUCGAACGGUAGAGGAGCAAUCCUCGAGAGUGGCGAACGGGUGAGUAAUAUAUCGGAACGUGCCCAGUCGUGGGGGAUAACGUAGCGAAAGUUACGCUAAUACCGCAUACGAUCUAAGGAUGAAAGCGGGGGACCGAAAGGCCUCGCGCGAUUGGAGCGGCCGAUAUCAGAUUAGGUAGUUGGUGGGGUAAAGGCUCACCAAGCCAACGAUCUGUAGCUGGUCUGAGAGGACGACCAGCCACACUGGAACUGAGACACGGUCCAGACUCCUACGGGUGCA